rnacentral:rRNA from 1 species
GUGGCGAACGGGUGAGUAACACGUGAGUAACCUGCCCCUGACUCUGGGAUAAGCCUUGGAAACGAGGUCUAAUACCGGAUACGAGACGCUCGGGCAUCUGAAGCGUCUGGAAAGAUUUAUCGGUCUGGGAUGGACUCGCGGCCUAUCAGCUUGUUGGUGAGGUAGUGGCUCACCAAGGCGACGACGGGUAGCCGGCCUGAGAGGGCGACCGGCCACACUGGGACUGAGACACGGCCCAGACUCCUACGGGAGGCAGCAGUGGGGAAUAUUGCACAAUGGGCGCAAGCCUGAUGCAGCGACGCCGCGUGAGGGAUGAAGGCCUUCGGGUUGUAAACCUCUUUCAGCAGGGAAGAAGCGCAAGUGACGGUACCUGCAGAAGAAGCGCCGGCUAACUACGUGCCAGCAGCCGCGGUAAUACGUAGGGCGCAAGCGUUGUCCGGAAUUAUUGGGCGUAAAGAGCUCGUAGGCGGUUUGUCGCGUCUGCUGUGAAAACUCGAGGCUCAACCUCGGGCUUGCAGUGGGUACGGGCAGACUAGAGUGCGGUAGGGGUGACUGGAAUUCCUGGUGUAGCGGUGGAAUGCGCAGAUAUCAGGAGGAACACCGAUGGCGAAGGCAGGUCACUGGGCCGCAACUGACGCUGAGGAGCGAAAGCAUGGGGAGCGAACAGGAUUAGAUACCCUGGUA